ensembl:lncRNA
CUAAACCAGGUCUAAACCAAGUCUAAACCAGAACUAAACCAGGUCUAAACCAGGACUAAACCAGGACUAAACCAGGUCUAAACCAGGUCUAAACCAGGUCUAAACCAGGACUAAACCAGGUCUAAACCAGGUCUAAACCAGGUCUAAACCAGGACUAAACCAGGACUAAACCAGGACUAAACCAGGUCUAAACCAGGACUAAACCAGGACUAAACCAGGACUAAACCAGGACUAAACCAGGACUAAACCAGGUCUAAACCAGGUCUAAACCAGGUCUAAACCAGGACUAAACCAGGACUAAACCAGGUCUAAACCAGGACUAAACCAGGUCUAAACCAGGACUAAACCAGGUCUAAACCAGGACUAAAGCAGGUCUAAACCAGGACUAAACCAGGACUAACCCAGGACUAAACCAGGUCUAAACCAGGACUAAACCAGGUCUAAACUAGGACUAAACCAGGACUAAACCAGGAGUUAAU